CGUAACAAGGUCUCCGUUGGUGAACCAGCGGAGGGAUCAUUACCGANUUUACAACUCCCAAACCCCUGUGAACAUACCAAUUGUUGCCUCGGCGGAUCAGCCCGCUCCCGGUAAAACGGGACGGCCCGCCAGAGGACCCCUAAACUCUGUUUCUAUAUGUAACUUCUGAGUAUAACCAUAAAUAAAUCAAAACUUUCAACAACGGAUCUCUUGGUUCUGGCAUCGAUGAAGAACGCAGCAAAAUGCGAUAAGCAAUGUGAAUUGCAGAAUUCAGUGAAUCAUCGAAUCUUUGAACGCACAUUGCGCCCGCCAGUAUUCUGGCGGGCAUGCCUGUUCGAGCGUCAUUUCAACCCUCAAGCCCAGCUUGGUGUUGGGACUCGCGAGUCAAAUCGCGUUCCCCAAAUUGAUUGGCGGUCACGUCGAGCUUCCAUAGCGUAGUAGUAAAACCCUCGUUACUGGUAAUCGUCGCGGCCACGCCGUUAAACCCCAACUUCUGAAUGUUGACCUCGGAUCAGGUAGGAAUACCCGCUGAACUUAAGCAUAUCA
rnacentral:rRNA from 1 species